AGCAUAAUAGUUCAACUGGUAGAGUAUGAGAUUCUUCAUCUCAGGGUUGUGGGUUCGAUCCCCACAUUGGGGCUG